ACCUCAUCCUAUAACAUUAUAAAUUAGCAAUGUGACUUCAUGAGAGAAAAUUUCCUUAAAACCAAAAAGCAAACCAAUUUGAAAACUUUCAUCAAGAGAGUGACCAAGCAGUUUAUUGAGGGACACUAGGACUAUAGGAUGGAAAAGGAAUGUCUGUUUGCUUUUGCCGGUAAACCCAGCCCCUCUCACAGGUCUUGGCAUACUGUCUGCUUCAACACUUAUUUGUCAGUUAAAACAAAUGAAUGUGCUUGUUGUCAAUGUUUCAUUUUAAAGACUUUAUAAGGUUCCUUCCACUCAGGGCUUCUCUUCCACCAUUUUGUUUCCUGCUUUAGAGGCAGAAACUCCUAUUCCUGUGUGAUUGUAUCAUUAAGUCCAAACAACUUAGCUUCCAUAGCAAAGUCACAGCUUAGCUUCCUGCCAGCUCUAUCCUGGACAUUUAUGGUAUCUGCUAUGGUCUGAAUGUUUAUGUCCUCCCCUACUCCCUGCCAAAUCCAUUUGUUGACAACAAAUCCCCAGUAUGAUGGUGUUAGGAUGGGUGCUCUUUGGGAGGUGAUUAGAUCAUGGGGGCUCAGUCCUCCUAAACAGGAUUAGUGCCUUUAUAAAAGAUGCCCUAGAGACCUGCCUUGUCCUUCCCACCAUGUGAAGAUGCAGUGAGAAAGUAGCCUCUUUGAUCCAGAAAUUGGCACUGUCACCAGACACUGAAUCUGCUGGUGCCUUGAUCUUGGAAUUCCCAGCCUCCAGAAUUGUGAGAAAUACAUUUCUGUUGUUUAUAAUCCAUCCAGUUUAUAAUAUUUUUAUUAUAGCAGCCGGAAAGGACUAAGACAAUAACUUACAAAGCUAAGCUACAGUAUCUCCAUUUAACCAUCUUGGGUGACUCUUUUACAAAUUAUUUGUUUCCUAUUGCUUUGCUAUUAUAAGUUUAAAUUCUCUAUAUACAGGAUUCUCAGCACUUUCACCUUCCUCAAAGAUGGGGAAUUU
rnacentral:lncRNA from 1 species